GCCUACGGGACGCAGCAGUGGGGAAUAUUGCGCAAUGGGGGAAACCCUGAUGCAGCAACGCCGCGUGAGUGAAGAAGUCAUUCUUGAUGUAAAGCUCCAUCAGCAGGGAAGAAAAUGACGGUACCUGAGUAAGAAGCCCCGGUUAACUACGUGCCAGCAGCCGCGGUAAUACGUAGGGGGCAAGCGUUAUCCGGAUUUACUGGGUGUAAAGGGAGCGUAGACGGCCAGACAAGUCUGAAGUGAAAAUCCAGCGCUUAACGUUGGAAGUGCUUUGGUAACUGCUGGGC
rnacentral:rRNA from 1 species